GAUGAACGCUGGCGGCGUGCCUAAUACAUGCAAGUCGAGCGAACGGACGAGAAGCUUGCUUCUCUGAUGUUAGCGGCGGACGGGUGAGUAACACGUGGAUAACCUACCUAUAAGACUGGGAUAACUUCGGGAAACCGUAGCUAAUACCGGAUAAUAUUUUGAACCGCAUGGUUCAAAAGUGAAAGACGGUCUUGCUGUCACUUAUAGAUGGAUCCGCGCUGCAUUAGCUAGUUGGUAAGGUAACGGCUUACCAAGGCAACGAUGCAUAGCCGACCUGAGAGGGUGAUCGGCCACACUGGAACUGAGACACGGUCCAGACUCCUACGGGAGGCAGCAGUAGGGAAUCUUCCGCAAUGGGCGAAAGCCUGACGGAGCAACGCCGCGUGAGUGAUGAAGGUCUUCGGAUCGUAAAACUCUGUUAUUAGGGAAGAAAAUAUGUGUAAGUAACUGUGAACAUCUGACGGUACCUAAUCAGAAAGCCACGGCUAACUACGUG
rnacentral:rRNA from 1 species